AAGAAAGCCAAUAUUUAAACAAAGACUAUGGGUUAAGGAUGAGACUGUUAUGUUGACCCACUGUUUACCUUGUUUUUUACGAGGGGAUAACUGAUCUCCAACUUUCACUUGGUUUGAAACCUUUGUCUCUGUUCAAAUUGUUUACAUUUUUCAAUCGCAGGUCAUUAUAACGGUCUCAUACUUAACUUGUAGCCUUUGUUUAAAGAUUGGCUUGCUU
rnacentral:pre_miRNA from 1 species